AUCUUUGCCCCUCCUGCACCAGUGGUUUCACCCAUAGGCCUGGUUUCAGUAAAAUCUCAUCCAGCCUGGUGUGGAUCCCUCCACCAAGUCCUCCCUGCCUGCAGCUCCCAAAAGCCUCACCCUGAAUCUGACAGGGUCGUCAUCUCUAUGGGUCAGGACUGAAGAGUUGACUCAGCUCCAUCCAUUCUCCAUGGGAGGACAUUGCAAUUCAGGCUGAGUCCAAGUGCUUUAAACCUCUAAGCCCAUCAUUGUUUUUCCUUAUGCGGAAUUCCUGAUCUUGCUAAUUUGGUAAACCUUUGAGUUAAACAGGUUUUGUUUUAAAAUCUUGGGGAAGGGGUGUCAAUAUGCUACUGAAAAUCACGUGCUAAUUGCACUGGUUUAAACAAGCAUAGAAUGGCAGGCAGGCACUGUAGAGGCCUCAUACAUAUAGGCAUGAACUGCACCUCCUGUUGUUUGUCCUACAGCGGUCUCAAAUCCUGCUGAGCUGUAUGCCGUCUUUCUGCUGUGAAAAAACGGGGACUCGCUCGCUACUGGAUACUGAUUCGAGGCAGUUGCUGCAACAGCUGCCACCCCCACCAUCUCCUGGGACCCCAGACUUCAUCCUAAUUCUGAGAGCUGUCCUGACCAGACCAGGAGAGGGACCCAGAUGACACCGUCACCUCCACUGGCUGAAAUCUGAACACCAGCAUGUCUCCAGUCCUAUGCUCCUGUUUACAUCAAGUACUAGACAACGCUGACAAGCAAAACAACUUUCAAGGUAGUCCUUGACUGAAAAGGUUGAUUUUCUUCAGUGCAUCCAAAUGUUAGUGUCUUCCAUACCAGAGGCAGUGACAUUAGAAGCUAAGAAGCGUCUUGGCUAACCUUUCUCUUGCUCUAGCACCUUCCCCUGAAGUAUCUGGUACUGGCCAUUGUUGGAGUCAGGAAAUGACUAGAUGGACCUCAGGUCUGAUCCACUAGGACCAUUCCUAUGAAAAGCAGUGAGGCUGAAGAGAGCAGAGUAUUGAUGGCACUGAAGAGACAGAAAAGGAUCCUGCUAGCCAUGACGAGUUCUCCAGCUACAUUCGGUCUGUGGUUCCACUGAAGAAUAUUUAUGGGUAGGGCACUUAAAUCACCUGCUCUUCUCAAUCAGCUUCUGCUCCAUCAAUAUCUACAAGGAGCUCUAAGUUACCAAAGGAAAAGGAUGAUGGAACAAUAAGCGGGACUAAGCAAAAGCUUGAUGAAUAACUUCAUUUAGUUUGUGCUUUGGAAAAUAGUUUCUGGCACUACCCAAAAUUAAUGUAUUAUUAAAGGCUCUGCCUUAUGCCAAGUGAGUCUUUUAUUCUUGGCAUAUGUAGAGAUCAUCAAGGACAAGACAGUGUUUUGCUGAGGUUUUGUUAAAGUAAUAAGUAAAGGUAACUGUUAUAGUUAUUGCCAGAGUAUUAAAACUAACUGGGAACAGAUAUCUAAUAAUGUUGGACAAUAGGGGCAAACUGCAUGGGAAAGGAAAACUAGGGUAUGUCAUGAAAUAAAGGAAUGUGGUAACAGAC